rnacentral:rRNA from 1 species
GAUGAACGCUGGCGGCGUGCCUAAUACAUGCAAGUCGAGCGAACAGACGAGGAGCUUGCUCCUCUGACGUUAGCGGCGGACGGGUGAGUAACACGUGGAUAACCUACCUAUAAGACUGGGAUAACUUCGGGAAACCGGAGCUAAUACCGGAUAAUAUAUUGAACCGCAUGGUUCAAUAGUGAAAGACGGUUUUGCUGUCACUUAUAGAUGGAUCCGCGCCGCAUUAGCUAGUUGGUAAGGUAACGGCUUACCAAGGCAACGAUGCGUAGCCGACCUGAGAGGGUGAUCGGCCACACUGGAACUGAGACACGGUCCAGACUCCUACGGGAGGCAGCAGUAGGGAAUCGUCCGCAAUGGGCGAAAGCCUGACGGAGCAACGCCGCGUGAGUGAUGAAGGUCUUCGGAUCGUAAAACUCUGUUAUUAGGGAAGAACAAAUGUGUAAGUAACUAUGCACGUCUUGACGGGACCUAAUCAGAAAGCCACGGCUAACUACG